rnacentral:tRNA from 1 species
GGCCUUAUAUUCAAUUAUGAUAUUAGACUGCAAUUCUAAAGGUGUAUAAGAUAAAAUUUUAUUAAGGCUU